GCUGAAGGCCCAGCUUGCUGGGUUGGAUGAGUGGCGAACGGGUGAGUAAUACGUGAGUAACCUGCCCUUGACUCUGGGAUAAGCCUGGGAAACUGGGUCUAAUACUGGAUAUGACGCGUCCUCGUAUGGGGGUGUGUGGAAAGGGUUUUACUGGUUUUGGAUGGGCUCACGGCCUAUCAGCUUGUUGGUGGGGUAAUGGCCUACCAAGGCGACGACGGGUAGCCGGCCUGAGAGGGUGACCGGCCACACUGGGACUGAGACACGGCCCAGACUCCUACGGGAGGCAGCAGUGGGGAAUAUUGCACAAUGGGCGAAAGCCUGAUGCAGCGACGCCGCGUGAGGGAUGACGGCCUUCGGGUUGUAAACCUCUUUCAGCACGGAAGAAGCGAAAGUGACGGUACGUGCAGAAGAAGCGCCGGCUAACUACGUGCCAGCAGCCGCGGUAAUACGUAGGGCGCAAGCGUUGUCCGGAAUUAUUGGGCGUAAAGAGCUCGUAGGCGGUUUGUCGCGUCUGCUGUGAAAGCCCGGGGCUUAACCCCGUGGUGUGCAGUGGGUACGGGCAGACUAGAGUGCAGUAGGGGAGACUGGAAUUCCUGGUGUAGCGGUGACAUGCGCAGAUAUCAGGAGGGAACACCGAUGGCGAAGGCAGGUCUCUGGGCUGUUACUGACGCUGAGGAGCGAAAGCAUGGGGAGCGAACAGGAUUAGAUACCCUGGUAGUCCAUGCCGUAUACGUUGGGCACUAGGUGUGGGGGACAUUCCACGUUUUCCGCGCCGUAGCUAACGCAUUAAGUGCCCCGCCUGGGGAGUACG
rnacentral:rRNA from 1 species